CUCCUGUGCAAAAUGUGAGACAAAACUGCUUCUCUCAGCCUAAGUCGCAGACCAAUCUCGAAGAAAUUCGCAAACUCCAAUCAAUGGUUUAUGGGGACAGUCCUACAAGUUCGACACAAAGGAAGGCUGAGUUCAGCCGUAUGGAAACCUCUUCCUACUACUCAGUGAGCCUGCCUUCUUCACGCUGCGUGCCGACCCAGCAGCAGCUCGGCAUCUCCCCAGUGGGAGCCUGGAGCACAAAAGGGGAAAGAGGGGCCGGCAAAUUAGGCUCUGCUGGGAACCUACGAGCUACGAGGUUGUUACGCUACGAGCGAUGGUAAGAAGGCAGCAGAAACCCUUGAAACAAUAGAUGAGAGAGAAAACAACAAAGUCAACGACCCGGACGGAAGCAGCCGCAACACCUUCAAAAAGCGGCCUAGACGGGGACAGCCUCUCCACCGCCCAUUGGCAGCACCGCUUCCGCGGCCCAACCCCUUUCCACCGCAGCCUAUCACAGAGCUUCCCAAGGCAGACGGCCCCCCGCGGCCACGUUCCUCCUUCCCGCCUCCUGCCACAGCCAAUGACCUCAUCGGAGAUGCAGCACUGCUAUCCGCGCUCCCCAUUGGCCGCGAGGACCGCCUGUCAUGCAGCUGGCACCGCCCCUCGAGUUAGGGGGAAAACACCCGAGGGACCCGAAUGAGCACAAGAUGGCCGCGCUGGCAGGCAGCCAAAUCCCAGGCGGGGCAGCGGCCGCCGCCGCCAUUAGGCCCCCUCCCCUCUAGUAUUCCCUUAUGUCGAGUUAAGAGAGUACCGCGCACGGCACUGAGGCGGCAGCCGCAUUUCCACGACCACGGUCCCAGCAGCCCCCAGACGGCGGAUGGCUCUCACCAAGACCGGACCAGCUCCGGCCUCACGAGGCCCAUAUCCCAGAACAGCGUCUCCGCACCGGGACACUGCAUCGGAUCAUCCCAGCGCCACGACGAUCUGCCCUCUCUUUGGGAGCCGCGGGCCGGGCCUGCGGCACCGCUGGCUGCCGCUGCGCAGCGACUGACGGAGCUCUAGUGCCCCCACCUCCCCAAAACCGAGCGUUACCCCUCCCCUCUGCCGCUCGCGGAGGUGUUCCCGAACGGGAUUCCGAUACCCCCUCCCUCGUCCCCGCCGCGAUGAAGAAGCCCAGACGGCCGUCUCCAUUUAAGAAAAAAAAACCAAAACGAUUUUUACCUCAGGAAUUGGCGCCAAACGUGCCCCGGCAGUGCCCCUGAACCGGGCCCGGGCGGGCCAGCCGGCGUUGGUGGCGGUGCCCGGAGACGGCCCAAACUUCCCCACGAGGGGCGGCGGCAGUGGGAGCUUAACAGGGGUCCGCAGAGGGAUAGAAGGGGUGGAACUGUAUUAUUAGGUGGGGGGGGGAGUGUGUGUGGGGGGAGGGGUAAGGGGGGGGAGUUCUGUGUUAUUUUUCAGGGCCCUGUGAAAGGUCAGAGUUCGUGACCCCGCCUGCCGCCGCCGCCCGAGAGCGUUCCAGCGCUUCCUCUUCCCGGCACCACGCCGGCCACGGCCCCCUCCAUCCUCUCGAGGGGCGGGGCCGAGGAUGGCGACGGGGAGGGGCGGGGCUACCUGAGCCGCUUCGAGCGUUCGCGCCAACGCUCCUACAAGUAGAACCGGGCCGCAGCCUGCUCGGUGGUAGGGUGGGUUGUCUAUGCAGGAGCGCGGCAGGUGGCGCUCGUUUCUGGGAGCGUGCUGAGGGCUGCUGCGCGCGGAGUGUCGGAUGAGUAAUGAAUAUUGUGGAAUACAGAAGAGAAGGCACUGCUUGAACACCUGGAUGAAGUUGGAGGGAAGCUCACACUUAGUGGCCGCUCUGUAAGAUUAAGAAAAUUCAGAAGGAAGGGGAGAAAUGGAUGAAUUGCUGUAUGUCAUACAAGGGGCAUAACAACCCAAAUGCCCUUGGCUGUAUACUCAUCUGCACCACACACACCAGUGAUGCCUGGAUUCCUCUAGAAUCUCCAGCUGCCAAAGAAAAAAAUACCAGAAGCCCAGUUGGUGGAAAGCCCAUCACUUACUCUAGGUGAUAGAAGUCUUCUGCACCAGUAAGGAUCAGGCUGCCCGUAUACACAGUGAGAAGGAUGAUCCUAGUAACUAAUACUCAGAGGUCAGCC
rnacentral:lncRNA from 1 species